rnacentral:rRNA from 1 species
UGCGUAGGCGGAAUAUUAAGUCAGUGGUGAAAUCCUGCGGCUCAACCGUAGAACUGCCACUGAUACUGAUAUUCUUGAAUGUAGUUGAGGUAGGCGGAAUGUGUAAUGUAGCGGUGAAAUGCUUAGAUAUUACACAGAACACCGAUUGCGAAGGCAGCUUACUAAACUAUGAUUGACGCUGAGGCACGAAAGCGUGGGGAGCGAACAGGAUUAGAUACCCUGGUAGUC